GGUGAAAUGCAUAGAUAUCACAUAGAACACCGAUCGCGAAGGCAGGUGACCAACCAUGUACUGACGCUGAUGGACGAAAGCGUGGGUAGCGAACGGGAUUAGAUACCCCGGUAGUCCACGCCGUAAACGAUGGAUACUAGCUGUCCGGGUCCUUGAGACCUGGGCGGCCAAGCGAAAGUGAUAAGUAUCCCACCUGGGGAGUACGUUCGCAAGAAUGAAACUCAAAGGAAUUGACGGGGGCCCGCACAAGCGGUGGAGCAUGUGGUUUAAUUCGAUGAUACGCGAGGAACCUUAC
rnacentral:rRNA from 14 species